rnacentral:rRNA from 1 species
UACGUAGGUGGCAAGCGUUGUCCGGAUUUACUGGGCGUAAAGGGCGUGCAGGCGGUCUGUUAAGUCUAGGGUGAAAGCUCCCGGCUCAACUGGGAGAGGUCCUUGGAUACUGGCGGACUUGAGGGAUGCAGAGGAAAGUGGAAUUCCCGGUGUAGUGGUGAUAUGCGUAGAUAUCGGGAGGAACACCAGUGGCGAAGGCGGCUUUCUGGGCUGUUGCUGACGCUGAGGCGCGACAGCGUGGGGAGCAAACAGG